GAUGAACGCUGGCGGCGUGCCUAAUACAUGCAAGUCGAGCGAACAGACGAGGAGCUUGCUCCUCUGACGUUAGCGGCGGACGGGUGAGUAACACGUGGAUAACCUACCUAUAAGACUGGGAUAACUUCGGGAAACCGGAGCUAAUACCGGAUAAUAUAUUGAACCGCAUGGUUCAAUAGUGAAAGACGGUUUUGCUGUCACUUAUAGAUGGAUCCGCGCCGCAUUAGCUAGUUGGUAAGGUAACGGCUUACCAAGGCAACGAUGCGUAGCCGACCGGAGAGGGUGAUCGGCCACACUGGAACUGGGACACGGUCCAGACUCCUACGGGAGGGAGCAGUAGGGUAUCUGCCGCAAUGGGCGAAAGCAUGACGGAGCAACGCCGCGUGAGUGAUGAAGGUCUUCGGAUCGGAAAACUCUGUUAUUAGGGAAGAACAAAUGUGUAAGUAACUAUGCACGUCUUGACGGUACCUGAUCAGAAAGCCACGGCUAACUACGUG
rnacentral:rRNA from 1 species